rnacentral:misc_RNA from 1 species
AUGCGAUAAGUAAUGUGAAUUGCAGAAUUCAGUGAAUCAUCGAAUCUUUGAACGCACAUUGCGCCCCCUGGUAUUCCGGGGGGCAUGCCUGUUCGAGCGUCAUUUCACCACUCAAGCCUCGCUUGGUAUUGGGCAACGCGGUCCGCCGCGUGCCUCAAAUCGACCGGCUGGGUCUUCUGUCCCCUAAGCGUUGUGGAAACUAUUCGCUAAAGGUGGUUCGGGAGGCUACGCCGUAAAACAACCCCAUUUCUAAGGUUGACCUCGGAUCAGGUAGGGAUACCCGCUGAACUUAA